GGUGCCUGUGGGGAGCGUUUGGGACAGCAGGGCUCCCAUAAGCUUCUGGGCCCAAACUAGCCUCGGUCUCUGGGUUCCUUUCCGUUGUCCCCGGGUUCUUGGCCUCUGCGCGGCGCGUUGGUCGCGUGCCAGACAGUUGUCAGCGCCGGCCGAGGGUGGGGGGCUCAACAGACUUCACGGAAGCGGGACUGGAACGGGCAGCGACGGUUGGGUGACGCCGGGAGGCAGGCGGCUGAGGUGAGGCGGCCCCUCGGGCACCGGGCCAGUUGUGUCGGGAGCCACAAGGCUGAGUGAGAAGGACGGCGCGGGAUAGGCGGCGAUACAGUCUCGGUUUCUAAGAAGGACCCUGAGGAGGAGGAAAGAACAGUUGGAUAUCUGGGAAUUGAAGUUCAGACUUUGAAGGUGACUUACAUAAUUCGUGUUCAUUGACCGGAGAAUCUUGACAGUGAAAGUGUCUCAUUGUAGUGAUGAGCUACAGCCCCGGGAUGUUCAAGAGCAGCUCUGGCUUUUCUGGACUCUGUGCUUCACCAAUAGAGGAAUCCCAUGGAGCGCUAAUUAGUUCUUGCAAUUACGGAACCAUGACUGAUGGGUUGGUGACUUUCAGUGAUGUGGCCAUCCACUUCUCCCAGGAAGAGUGGGAGUGCCUGAGCCCUGCUCAGAGGGACUUAUACAUGGAUGUGAUGUUGGAGAACUACAGUAACUUGAUUUCACUGGGGAUCAAAUCCGAAACCUGGGCAUGUGUCCUGACCAGGAAUCGAACUGACGACCUUUC